rnacentral:rRNA from 1 species
UACGAAGGGUGCAAACGUUGCUCGGAAUCAUUGGGCGUAAAGCGCACGUAGGCGGCAUUCUAAGUCGGAUGUGAAAUCCCUCGGCUCAACCGAGGACGUGCAUCCGAAACUGGAACGCUCGAGUAUGGAAGAGGGUCGCGGAAUUCUCGGUGUAGAGGUGAAAUUCGUAGAUAUCGGGAGGAACACCAGUGGCGAAGGCGGCGACCUGGGCCAAUACUGACGCUGAGGCGCGACAGCGUGGGGAGCAAACAGG